CCGAAGUACAGGCCCCCUCAGGGGCUACACUUCCACCCUUUGUCUACUACUCUUCGUUGCUUUGGCGAGACGCCCUCGGCCACCGGCUCCGGCUGGUGAGUGCUCGCCAGAGGAAACCCAAACCCAACCCUUUUUAGUGUUGUCUGAGAACUAAGUUUAAUUAUUA
rnacentral:misc_RNA from 1 species